rnacentral:lncRNA from 1 species
UUCUAGAUAAUUUAUUCUUUUUUCUAGUAAUACUAAUGAAAGUAGAAAAGGUACUGAUUAAUUUAAGUCCAAGGAAAAUAAUACAAAUCUAAAUUCUACCAGUGUGUGUGCCAUGACCUGGUAUCACAAGUGUAUGAGCAUCUAGUAAGUUAUACAAAACUCUAAAUAUUGUCUGAAAUAAAAUAGAUAGAGUGCAAAUACAAGAAGAGGCACUGGUAGCUGCAGAACGACUCAGAAAGACAGCUCACUACUACGCCUCUAGAUAAUGUGAGUGUGCGAUAAUAGGUCCUCCACAAGUGCCUGUCUGAGAUCCUGCACAAAAAAUGCAGCAAGUAUAGCAUAAGUACGUAAGCAACGUGUACCCAGCAAGUAUCAAGCCUAAUCUCGAAGAGGUAGAGACGAGAGGUCGACUUUGACACUCACUAAGGGGUCAAUAAUAAUAAUUGAAAUAAAAAUAGAAUAUUUAAAUCAACAUGAUUCAUAGAAUUUACGAUAAUUCUCAUUUAACCAACAGAAAUAAUUAAAUUCCUUCAAAUGCAAUAAAUUUCAAUCUAUUAAUUAAAUUCACAAGCUGUCAUUAAAACAUCAAAGUAUCGUGUAAUUAUUAUUAUUAUUAGACAUGAUUUCUGCCGAGGUCGUGCGGCCUAUUUCCAGAGUGUCGUGUACACUGCCGAGGGACGUACGACGUGAUCCAUAGAUGCGUCUAUACCGCCGAGGCGUUCGGCCCGCUAGAAAGGAAGACAUUUUCUUAUGUACCUCCGGAAUGAGAGUGUAUUUAUUAUAAGAUUAAUUCGAGAGGAUGAAUAAUUCCUUUUAAUAAUUAAUUAAUUCAAACAGAAAAUUAAGUAUAUGAAAUUCCCUUCUUUUACUAGCUUUCCCGAAUAAUUUACAAUAUAUUUCAAAUUAUUUAAUUAAAUAAAGAAUACAAUUUACACACAUAAUUCAUGCUUUGAGUCCUAAACUACCCGGACUUAGCAUAGAUAGUAGCUACGUACGGACUCUCAUCACCUCGUGCGUACAUAGCCCCCACAAUUAGUAACAAUUCUUAAUUUAAUCACCUAUGAGGUAAUUUCUCCCUCACAAGAUUAGACAAGAGACUUACCUCGUCUUGCUCCAAUUUAAUCUACUAGUAAACUCUUUCCUCGAUUAUCCAACUCUGAAUGGCUCGAAUC